GGUGUCUGGUUCGACAUAACGCCGAGCCAACGGAAUUCGUAUCAACGGCAUCAGGACUUUUGGUCCUAAAUGACCCAGAUCUGAUGAGAACUUCGCCGGUU